rnacentral:rRNA from 1 species
AGUGGGGAAUAUUGCACAAUGGAGGAAACUCUGAUGCAGCAACGCCGCGUGGAGGAUGACACUUUUCGGAGCGUAAACUCCUUUUAUAUAGGAAGAUAAUGACGGUACUAUAUGAAUAAGCGCCGGCUAACUCCGUGCCAGCAGCCGCGGUAAUACGGAGGGCGCAAGCGUUACUCGGAAUCACUGGGCGUAAAGAGCGUGUAGGCGGAUAGAUAAGUCAGAAGUGAAAUCCUAUAGCUCAACUAUAGAACUGCUUUUGAAACUGUCUAUCUAGAAUAUGGGAGAGGUAGAUGGAAUUUCUGGUGUAGGGGUAAAAUCCGUAGAGAUCAGAAGGAAUACCGAUUGCGAAGGCGAUCUACUGGAACAUUAUUGACGCUGAGACGCGAAAACGUGGGGAGCAAACAGGAUUAGAUACCCUGGUAGUCCACGCCCUAAACGAUGUACACUAGUUGUUGCCAUGCUAGACAUGGCAGUAAUGCAGUUAACACAUUAAGUGUACCGCCUGGGGAGUACGGUCGCAAGAUUA